AUAUCACGUUAAAAUGUCUGUUCUCGUCCGAUCACUGAAGAUAAGCAGCGUUGAGCCUGAUCGGUAACUAGAUGGGUGACCGCUUGGGAAUACUAGGUACUGUAAG